rnacentral:rRNA from 1 species
AGGCGAGGGGGCAGCAAUGUCACCGUCGUACGGGUGCGUAACGCGUAUGCAACCUACCUUCAACUGGGGGAUAGCCCGGGGAAACCCGGAUUAAUACCGCAUAACACAGGGGUACAGCAUUGUACUAUUUGUUAAAGAUUUAUUGGUUGAAGAUGGGCAUGCGUUCGAUUAGCUAGUUGGCAGGGUAACGGCCUACCAAGGCGACGAUCGAUAGGGGAGCUGAGAGGUUGAUCCCCCACACGGGCACUGAGAUACGGGCCCGACUCCUACGGGAGGCAGCAGUAGGGAAUAUUGGGCAAUGGAUGCAAGUCUGACCCAGCCAUGCCGCGUGCCGGAUGAAGGCCCUCAGGGUUGUAAACGGCUUUUAUUCGGGAAGAAGAGCAGGGAUGCGUCCUUGUGUGACGGUACCGAAUGAAUAAGCACCGGCU